CCUACGGGAGGCAGCAGUGGGGAAUAUUGCGCAAUGGGCGAAAGCCUGACGCAGCGACGCCGCGUGAGGGAUGAAGGUCUUCGGAUCGUAAACCUCUGUCAGCAGGGAAGAACGGUCACUGUGCUAAUCAGCAGUGAAUUGACGGUACCUGCAAAGGAAGCACCGGCUAACUCCGUGCCAGCAGCCGCGGUAAUACGGAGGGUGCGAGCGUUAAUCGGAAUUACUGGGCGUAAAGCGCUCGUAGGCGGUAUGUCAAGUCAAGGGUGAAAGCCCCGCGCUCAACGUGGGAACUGCCUUUGAAACGGGCAAACUGGAGUGUGUGAGAGGAUAGUGGAAUUCCAGGUGUAGGAGUGAGAUCCGUAGAUAUCUGGAGGAACAUCAGUGGCGAAGGCGACUAUCUGGCACAUAACUGACGCUGAGGAGCGAAAGCGUGGGUAGCAAACAGGAUUAGAUACCCCUGUAGUC
rnacentral:rRNA from 1 species